CUCCACGCUGCAACGGCUCUCUCUGCAUGCUUUCUUCUCACACGCAACCCACAAGCUCUCAGGUUUCUUCAAGCUCUAUUGUUCUUAAACGCACAAUAAAAUCUAGGGAAAGCCUCCUGAACUCCACCAUCAGUUUCAUUGAAGAAAACAACGUGGGUAAUGCCGUUGCGUUGUGACCAGCAGCGAUCACACGGAUCACCACUUAUUAAAUCCAAUCUAUCGCACAGAGAGAGAUCAGACGGGUACGUGGAAACGACAAAAUCGCGCUCCCUUCUUUUUUUUUCACCGUAUACAGCUCGGCUCAGGCUUAUUCGUUGGUCUCUUGUUUAUUAUUCCUGAAUUUGGUAAGGUAUGAAUAAAAUUUUACUUCACAAGUUUGGGUAGAGAGAUAGAAGAACAUGUAACUUCUCUUUCUUUUUUUAUAUGAAUGUAAUAGUGAUUUACACACAAUAUAGUACAAUGUAACUUCAA